UACCUCAAGUCAAGUAAGAAUACCCGCUGAACUUAAGCAUAUCAAUAAGCGGAGGAAAAGAAACUAACUAGGAUUCCCUUAGUAACGGCGAGUGAACUGGGAAAAGCUCAAAUUUUAAAUCACCUCGGUGAAUUGUAAUUUGAAGAAAGUGUUUUGACUUUUCAGUUUAAUCUAAAUCCUUUGGGAUGAGGUAUCAUAGAGGGUGAGAAUCCCGUUCUUGAUUAAACCUCGGAUUGCACUAAAUUCACUUUCUAAGAGUCGAGUUGUUUGGGAUUGCAGCUCCAAAUGGGUGGUAAAUUUCACCUAAGGCUAAAUAUAUGCAAGAGACCGAUAGCGAACAAGUACCGUGAGGGAAAGAUGAAAAGUACUUUGAAAAGAGAGUUAAACAGUACGUGAAAUUGUUGAAAGGGAAACGAUUGAAGUCAGUCAUGCUAGUGAGGAAUCAACUUGGUGGUUUACUUCCUUGUGCAUUUUCUCGCUUGGCAGGUUAGCAUCAAUUUUGGUUGUCAUCAAAGAAUUGGGGGAAUGUGACUUUUCUUCGGUAAAGUGUUAUAGACCCUGAUUGAUGUGGCGACUGGGAUUGAGGUUUGCAGCGGAUGCCUCUUGUGGCUAGUCACCUGUCUUCUGACCGUCACCUCGUUUUUAACAGCUUGCUGAUGAUUGCGGGAUUUGGCGAUCUAGGAGUUAGAGUGAACAUAAAUUCGCUAAGGAUGCUGACGUAAUGGCUUUAAACGACCCGUCUUGAAACACGGACCAAGGAGUCUAACAUAUGUGCGAGUG
rnacentral:rRNA from 1 species